GCCAGGUGCUGGUCUGUGGAUACCUGUCCCGCACUGUACUACAGGUGGGCCGGGAGGGAGAGAGUAAGCUGGCUACGCUGGCUACUCAGGAGGAUGGAGUGAGGUGGCCAGUGUCAGUCUGCUACAGCAGCACAACAUCAUCCAUCAUUGUGGGACAGUACAGGAACAACAACAUCCUGGUGUUCAGAGUGGAAUAGUGUGUACAUUGGCUGCUGAGUCAGGACAAGGUUGCUGAGGAUGUGGUGGACAAGGAUGACCUGAAUACACAGAAGGUGCUUGACCAAAUACAAGAGGCCGUCCCAUCAAUCAGUCGUCAAAGUCAGUUGAGAUGGACCAGAACAAGGCAAAAACCCAGCAACAUUUUACUCACUCAACUGCUCAGCACAGAAGACUACUGUCUGGUGAAAGGAUCGGCUGUAUCAAAGUCCUGUGAUAUUGGGGGACUUGGUCGUUCCAUGUGUGGGGAUUGCAUCAUGAAGGACAUUUUAGAUGACACUCACAAGGUGAGCAGGAGCAUUGUUAUUGAGUUGACAUGGCAAAGGCACCAGUCGGACCC